UGGACAAUGGGCGAAAGCCUGAUCCAGCAAUUGCCGCGUGAAGUGAUGAAGGCCUUCGGGUUGUAAAGCUCUUUUACCAGGGAUGAUAAUGACAGUACCUGGAGAAUAAGCUCCGGCUAACUCCGUGCCAGCAGCCGCGGUAAUACGGAGGGAGCUAGCGUUGUUCGGAAUUACUGGGCGUAAAGCGCACGUAGGCGGCUACUCAAGUCAGAGGUGAAAGCCCGGGGCUCAACCCCGGAACUGCCUUUGAAACUAGGUAGCUAGAAUCUUGGAGAGGUCAGUGGAAUUCCGAGUGUAGAGGUGAAAUUCGUAGAUAUUCGGAAGAACACCAGUGUCGAAGGCGACUGACUGGACAAGUAUUGACGC
rnacentral:rRNA from 1 species